CAGGGCUUGAUCGAGACGUCGGUCAGAAUCGCUUUCAACGAUUCCAAUGGGUUGGGGUUGGUUCGAAUCCAGCUGCCCCGACCA
rnacentral:tRNA from 1 species